GCCGAAGAUGUCCAGGCCUGGCCGGAGCCGCCUCCUGAUUGACGAGGCCCGCAUGGGAGUGCGGACGUGCAGCACAGAUUUGCGGGUCUCCUGGGCCUCUUGGGCGGUGAUCAGCGCGGACCUUGGGCCAACCGGGGAAGCAGGCCGGAGCACUACCCCCCACCCCCAUUUUAGAACAUCCUUCUGAGGGCUUCGCUGACCUCGGCUUGAACUCCUUCAGAGCCGGAGAGAUCACUCCUUCCACCACCGAGGGAGAGGAGGCAAAAUGAAUUUGCCAGCUUUGAAUUCAUUCUCAAGGCUCCGCUAGUCUCACAGCCAGUGAACUCAGUCUGGAAUUCCUGAAAGCUCAGAAAACUGCUGCUUAGGUCCACCCGGGCGUGGGGGACGGGGUGGCAGCUGAGCAUCCCUGGAGAGGGUGGGUGGUAUGAAAGCACUUCCAGACCUCUAGGGACACCAGGGAGUCAUGGUCCCAGCACAUUGCUGUGUGAUUGAGCCCCUCCUCAGCCUGUGGGUGGCCUAAGUUCACAGGGAGGUAAUGGGGUAGAUUGGAUACCUCUGGGGUCUUGGAAGAAGCUAUGACUUAUUUACUGUCUACUAUGUGGGCCCCUCCAGAGGAGCAAGUACAUGCGGCACUGAUGAGGAAGUCUGGGACAAGCGACCUGAGGAGGACCAUGCCUCCCACUUCCUUCCUGAUAGCUCCUGCACCCCGAGAGGGGUGGGGGAAGGUCUCAGAUCCUCAGCAUCUCUCCUCCUUCUGGCUGUGCAGUCCUCCAGCCUCAAGACUCAUGCUUCCUUGCCCUCACCUCAUCCUGUGGCCAUGCAGGGUGACUUCCAGAAUUGCCAGCAUUAUGUACAUACUCUU
rnacentral:lncRNA from 1 species